CUCCUCCCUGCUGUCUCCGAGCGCCGGGUCGGGAGCUAGUUGGAGCGCGGGGGUUGGUGCCAGAGCCCAGCUCCGCCGAGCCGGGCGGGUCGGCAGCGCGUCCAGCGGCUGCUGGGAGCCCGAGCGCAGCGGGCGCGGGCCCGGGUCGGGACUGCACCGGAGCGCUGAGAGCUGGAGGCCGUUCCUGCGCGGCCGCCCCAUUCCCAGACAGGCCGCCAGCCCAUCUGGUUCGCUCCCGCCGCUCCGCGCCGCCCGGGAGUCGGGAGCCGCGGGGAACCGGGCACUUGCACCCGCCGCUGGGAGGUUUUCUCCCCUGUCUGCCUCCCGGAGCUAGGACUGCAGAGGGGCCUAUCAUGGUGCUUGCAGGCCCCCUGGCUGUCUCGCUGUUGCUGCCCAGCCUCACACUGCUGGUGUCCCACCUCUCCAGCUCCCAGGAUGUCUCCAGUGAGCCCAGCAGUGAGCAGCAGCUGUGCGCCCUUAGCGAGCACCCCACCGUGGCCUUUGAAGAUCUGCAGCCGUGGGUCUCUAACUUCACCUACCCUGGAGCCCGGGAUUUCUCCCAGCUCGCUUUGGACCCCUCCAGGAACCAGCUCAUCGUGGGAGCCAGGUAAC
rnacentral:sRNA from 1 species